rnacentral:rRNA from 1 species
AUGAACGCUGGCGGCGUGCCUCAUACAUGCAAGUCGAGCGAACAGACGAGGAGCUUGCUCCUCUGACGUUAGCGGCGGACGGGUGAGUAACACGUGGAUAACCUACCUAUAAGACUGGGAUAACUUCGGGAAACCGGAGCUAAUACCGGAUAAUAUAUUGAACCGCAUGGUUCAAUAGUGAAAGACGGUUUUGCUGUCACUUAUAGAUGGAUCCGCGCCGCAUUAGCUAGUUGGUAAGGUAACGGCUUACCAAGGCAACGAUGCGUAGCCGGCCUGAGAGGAUGAUCACCCACACUGGAACUGAGACACGGUCCAGACUCCUACGGGAGGCAGCAGUGGGGAAUCUGCCGCAAUGGGCGAAAGCCUGACGGAGCAACACCGCGUGGGUGAUGAAGGUCUUCGGAUCGUAAAACUCUGUUAUUGGGAAAGAAAAAAAGCGUAAUAAACUCUCCACGUUUUGACGGUACCUAAUAAAAAAGCCCCGGCUAACUACGUG